UAUGUAAAAAACGUAAGAGCUAAACAUCUCUGGUCAAAGCAGCAUUGGAAGCUCAUGAGCUUUGACCCUCCAAAUGAGGGUCAUCAUCUCUGCCCUAUGACGGUCAUCAGCUCUGCACUGAACACAGUGUAAUUUGAGCCACUUUCUCAGUACCGAUAAAGCUCAGAAAUACAUGGGUAAAAAACCCCUUCAGCCAACUGCUUCCUGGAAUGUCCUUUCACCCACAAUCUAGAAGCUUCAAUUCAUUAAUGCAUGAUUCUACAUUCUCCAUGCGCACAGCCUUCUCUAUGGACUGUGACCUACAGCAAUGCUCUCUCUGGAAAAGACCUCGGAUACCAUUGUUGUACCUCUGUUUUGUAAUGAAGGGAAGUAACGUAACCAAGUUUAUAAAAGUGAUUUUAACACCUUUUCUUUCCACUUGAGAGUGUCCACAUACUAGAAAGGUCAACACGCAGGAUCCCGGUGGAAGAGCAAUCAUGCCUCGAUAUAGAGCUCACUAUGAAAUGAGUCCAUCACCAAAGCAGAAGGGAGAGAGCUUUCAAUGGAGGAAACGAUGAUUAUCACUUUCCCAUAUCACGAGCUACUUUCCAAGUUUCUGUGUCUAGCAGAUAUUUUUCACACGAAAUGUUGGGGCAAUGAGAAUGCAAAGGGCUUGCUUUCCAGCAAACAUGGUUUUCUUCAAGCAAGAUGCGUACCUUACAAGGCAGUCUGUGCCCUUGAUCGUUUUAGUCAGAGCAGAUGGAGCACGCUCUUCUCCACAGAUGUCUUUAUAACUGUUUGUGGUUUUAUUUUUGUCUUUCCACAAAAUGUUAUGCGAAAAGCAAAAUAAAGUAAUAUCAAGGAGAUAUAUAUAUGUGUGUGUGUGUGUAUAUAUAUAUAUAUAAAAUGAAACUGAGAAGGAACCAAAGAUUCAGUAAGUUGCUCAAUGCACUGCAUCAACAAGCUGUUCCUGCCUUUAUCUGAGCAGCUGUCUCUACCAUCCCUCAUCACACACCUUCCUUAGCAACGGGUUUAGGAUUACUAAAAGCCAGACUUUGGAAGUCACAAUUGUACUUUUAAAUUUUGGCAUGUUGGUGGGAGCAUCUGACAAUAUUUA
rnacentral:lncRNA from 1 species